CCCUGCUUCCUGUCUGGGGGAGUCACACAGGAACCCAGGGACUAUGUAUAUGAGCUGCCAGGCACUCCAAGACACUGAACGCUCAGCCUGAGGCACAACAAAACACUCUUGUGCAGGGGAAUCCGUGCCACAUGCCGCUCUCCAGCCUGCUCUGGCUCUUCCUGGCCUCCGUCUUCUCUGGAUCCGGUGUGACCCAGAAAGUUACUCAAGACCAGCCAGUUGUAUCUAGGCAAGUUGGAGAGGAAGUCACCUUAAACUGUCGCUAUGAAACAAGUUGGAAUGAAUACAUUCUUUUUUGGUAUAAACAGCCUCCCAGUGGAGAGAUGACUUUCCUUAUUCGUCAGGAAUCCAAAGGCUUGAACACAAAGGAUGGCCGCUACUCCACAAACUUCCAGAAAGCACAAAAUUUCAUCAGCCUCACCAUUUCAGCCUUACAGCUGCAAGAUUCUGCUAAGUACUUCUGUGCUCUCCGGGAGCUCACAGUGCCUGAAGCAAUAGGAGAGGCUGAACAAAAACCCCAGAGCUCAAUACAAGAGAGGCCCCCUGCUGCAGGACCCAAGCUGAAAUGCACACCUGCAGACCCCAGACAAGAAGUGGUUGUCCUGUGGUUGCUUCAUCUGUGGUCUGGACAAGAUUACUUUCUAAAUAAAAGUUCCUUCCAUUUCCUUUGGAAGCAGGUGUUAGAGUAACUUCCCACUAUUACAUUCACAUCUUGAAUUUUUAUUUUUAAAUAAUAUAGAACAUGUAUAAAGUUGUCUAAAUUUGAAAGCUUGCCCCAAAAUAAUUUAAAGUGGAAAUUUCACCUACAGAUGUUGACAUCACUAAUCUGGACUAGUUAUCUAGAAUUGUCAUGAAAAUCAUUUCCUUGGGUCUUUCUUCAGAGACUUUGUGUCCCUUAGGGUACAGUUAGAGAAGCAGAACCACAUGUGAUAUAGAAUAAGAGACACCAUGAGGAACAGAACUCAUGUAAAUGCUAGAGCUUGUGGAGGAGCCAAGCAGAGAUGUUAUCUUUCUAUCUGGUAUGCAUCCUGAAUUUACUGUAAGUCAACUAGGGUAACCUAUGUAAAGGGAAGUUGGAUGUGAACAAAAACAUGGACAAACUGUGACUCAUCGGGACAUACUAGGACCAUGAAGACAAUUGAAACCCACAAAGACACAUUAAAUCUUGUCUGAAUUUCACCUCCUUCAGUCACACAGUAAUGGGUGAUUUUCAGAAGUCAGCGGCAUUUGCCAUCAUGCUACACGCAUACUUGGUCCAAGAUAGAAGAUAAGGGAGAGAUCUGCUGGGAAGUGGAGUAGUUGACUCAUCGAUAAGAUGAACUAGCUGAUCAGCAACAACAUGUAUGAGUCACUAUAGUCCAUGCAGCCCUGCACAGACCAGCAGAACAAACAAAAAUAUGGUGGCUUGUAGUUCCUCUGGUGGCACAGUGGUAAAGAACCCAACUAGUAUCCAUGAGGACCUGGGUUUGAUCCCUGGACUUUCUCAGUAGGUUAAGGAUCCGGUGUUGCCAUGAGCUGUGGUGUAGGUCACAGAUGGGGCUUGAAUCUGGUGUUGCUUGUGGCUGUGACAUAGGCUGGCAUCUGCAACUCUGAUUCGACCCCUAACCUAGGAACUUCCACAUGCCCUGGGUGCACCCUGAGAAAGACAAAAUAUAUAUACAUACACAGAGAGAGAGAUAUAUAUGGUGGCUUCAUUACAUCCACUUUCCGAAUCUUGCACAAAUCUCUUUCAUGGAUAACCGUAACUCAGAAUAAUACAGGGAAGCAAAUUCUGGGAAAUACAUUUCCAAAACAGUUUUGUUGAGACAAUAUAAAGCUACCACAGUAGCUUGUUAACUAGUUUACUUGCCUCCCUAUUAGCUGAGUAUCUAUCUAUACCCCUUUUAACAACACAAUUUAAAUAAAGACAACAGCAAAACUAUGCUUCCUACUAAUAUGAUAUAAUUUUUCUCAUUAAGCCCAAAACAAGAUAACUCUCUCCGGCAAAGAGUAAACCCAGUUGAUUUAACCAUUUUGGGGUGAUGUUGUUUCUGCUAUCUAGUCACAUUCUCCCCAAAAUCCUGUAUCAUAAAUAUUGAGAUGUAUCAAAUUUUAAGAUUAACCUAUAUUAGCGCUUCUUAUGUUACUACAUGCAGGCAAAUGGGAGAGGAGAGAUAAAAAUGGUUUUGCUAUGGAUACAUAAGUAUAUAAAUAUAUCCAUAUCAAAAUGAAAAAAGAAAUAUUCUAACCAUUAUAGAUCUUGCUUUUGUAAGUGACCAAAUGUUUGUAGCUGGUAUUUAUAACUUCCUCUUCCACUAGUCCUUCCAUAACCACUUUGCUCAUAACAAGCACCUCUACUCACGGCUAUACUUGACUUUCUGUAAAACAAGCUGCUUAUACAAGAAUAAUACUGUGAGAAAUGCCAUGAAGUUGAAUAAGGGAUUCUGCAAGUACACUACUGUGGUUUUGGCAGAAAUUUGUAAGGCAUUGAAGGCAAAUCCAAAGUCCUAUUUAGUGGAAAUAAUUUUGCCAAUGCUAUACAAUGAUAUAUUUUAUUCUGGGAAACAUCAUUAAGAAUCUUACUGAGUUCUUUUCAGAAGUCGAAAUCACCAGGGGAAAGCAUUUCUAGAGUGCUUAAAGAAAAACAAAACUUUCAAGCUAGCCUCCUAUAAACAUGAAAGCAUAUUUUUAAAUUGUCCUUGUUAAAAAUUACUGCUAAGAGGAUGGAAAGUCAAUGCCCAGGCAGGUAAACUAUAUUAGCAAUGCAUACUGCUAAAAAAGACUCAAAUGUGGGGGGGGGAGUUCAUAUAAACCAACAAGAAAAAAAAAA